rnacentral:rRNA from 1 species
CGGAUUGUAGUCUGCAACCCGAUUACAUGAAGCUGGAAUCGCUAGUAAUCACGAAUCAGAAUGUCGCGGUGAAUACGUUCCCGGGUCUUGUACACACCGCCCGUCACACCAUGGGAGUCGGUAACGCCCGAAGCCUGUGACCCAACCCUAGUGGAGGGAGCAGUCGAAGGUGGGACCGGUGACUGGGGUGAAGUCGUAACAAGGUAAC